rnacentral:rRNA from 1 species
GGCCUACCAUGGUGGUAACGGGUAACGGGGUGUUAGGGCACGACACCGGAGAGGGAGCCUGAGAAACGGCUACCACAUCCAAGGAUGGCAGCAGGCGCGCAAAUUACCCAAUCCCGACAUGGGGAGGUAGUGACAAUAAAUAACAAUACAGGGUUCUUUUGGAUCUUGUAAUUGGAAUGAGUACAAUUUAAAUCUCUUAACGAGGAACAAUUGGAGGGCAAGUCUGGUGCCAGCAGCCGCGGUAAUUCCAGCUCCAAUAGCGUAUAUUAAAGUUGCUGCAGUUAAAAAGCUCGUAGUUGAAUUUCGGGAUCAAUAUGUUGGUCGUGCCUUGGUACGUACUAGCUUAUUGAUUUCUCCUUUCUGACGAACCAUGAUGUCAUUAAUUUGGUGUCAGGGGGAAUCAGGACUGUUACUUUGAAAAAAUUAGAGUGUUUAAAGCAGGCUCGCGCUUGAAUACAUUAGCAUGGAAUAAUGAAAUAGGACAUUUGAUUCUAUUUUGUUGGUUUCUAGGAUCGAUGUAAUGAUUAAUAGGGAUAGUUGGGGGCAUUAGUAUUCAAUUGUCAGAGGUGAAAUUCUUGGAUUUAUUGAAGACUAACUACUGCGAAAGCAUUUGCCAAGGAUGUUUUCAUUAAUCAAGAACGAAAGUUAGGGGAUCGAAGACGAUCAGAUACCGUCGUAGUCUUAACCAUAACUAUGCCGACUAGGGAUCGGAUGAUGUUAAUUUUUUAAUGACUCAUUCGCGCCUUACG